UGCGGAAGUGGCGAAAUUGGUAGACGCGCUACCUUGAGGGGGUAGUGAGGGAAACCUUUUGGGGGUUCGAGUCCCCCCUUUCGCAA
rnacentral:tRNA from 1 species